UACGUAGGGGGCAAGCGUUGUCCGGAAUCAUUGGGCGUAAAGCGCGCGCAGGCGGUUUCUUAAGUCUGAUGUGAAAGCCCCCGGCUCAACCGGGGAGGGUCAUUGGAAACUGGGAAACUUGAGUGCAGGAGAGAAGAGCGGAAUUCCACGUGUAGCGGUGAAAUGCGUAGAGAUGUGGAGGAACACCAGUGGCGAAGGCGGCUCUUUGGCCUGUAACUGACGCUGAGGCGCGAAAGCGUGGGGAGCAAACAGG
rnacentral:rRNA from 1 species